UAAAAUAUCUUACAUUUUCAUUUGGACCUUAGCAUGGCAAAUUAUAUGCUAUUUAGGUAAAGGGAGUCUUCCCCUAGUGGCUUUAGCAGCAGAGGAAGUCACUGAUUGGAACCCGAGCAGAACAGUCACUCUUCCUCCCUCCGGAAGAAAUUACAGAAGAAACGGGGAAUACCUGCUUCUGAUUCCAUAGCUGAGGGACAGAGAAGGAGAUGUGGAGGAGAGUUUGGAGUUCGUCGGGGACAUUUGCAGGGACGAUGAUGGCGCAGGAGAGCCCCAUGGUGUCAACAAGGUUGCCAUGUCCGGUGGGACCGACAAGCUCAUUCUCUUAUUCUACAGCUACCUCCUCCCCACCUUCUUCCUCCUCCCGUCUCCUUCUCCGCAGGUACUGUCUCACCUCCAAAAAAUCGAACGAACAAACAAACAAACAACCUUAUCCCCCGUCACUGGGACAAUUACUGAAUUUCAUGUUUUUGUUUUUUUCACCCUUGUUUUUGGGGCUAUGUCUGCAGCCUGAAUGGCAUCCUCUCACUUCCGCUAUCCUCCUCACAAUCUUCCUGCGUUCCCUGGUUGGAUUCAUGAUACAGAUAUUCGAAUUCACUGGCAUUGAUUAAAGCUCUCCUACGCUUGGUACCGCUCUUUUGAAUCUCAUCCCAGCUUUCACUUUCAUGCUCGGCAUCAUUUUUAGGUGCAACCCGCGUCCCUGUUCCUUCUUCCCUCCAGUUUUGGUAUUGGUUGGAAUUAUAUGAAGCUCCUAUAUUUUCGGUGGGUUCUAGUAUGGAAAAGUUGGCGCUUAAAAGCUUGAGCAGCCAAGCAAAGGUCGGUGGAACCGUACUUUCAAUUGCAGGAGCAUUCAUAGUCACUUUCUACAAGGGCCAACUGCUCACAGUGUCGUCAACCCUUCACCUCCCUCCACAUUCAAGUUGGGGUCCUUGGUGGGUUCUUCGUUGCAGGCGAAGCACUAAUGAUCUCAUCAAGUUACAUUUUGCAGGCGUUCAUCCUCAGGGAUUACCCCGGUGGUGCUAAUCAUCAUGUUCCACAUCAACUUAUUCGGGACCGUCUUCGCUGCCCUGCUCUCGCUAAUUGCAGUGAGGGAUCCUGAGUUGUGGGCCCUAAAGGUCGGUUCGAGCCUGGUCGCGGUCAUUUACUGAAUGUUAGCGAGAAGUUUGUUGCUAGUCGCCAUGACCAUGUGGUGCGUAAAGAGGAGAGGGCCUGUGUAUGUUGCAAUUUUCAAGCCCCUAGCAAUAGUCUUUGCAGUGGUGCUCAGAGGCGUUUCUUAGGUGCCCUACUAUGCCGUGGCAGCUUGCUUGGGGCAGUGGUGAUAGAGGGAGGAUUCUAUCGGUGAUGUGGGGAAAGGCCAAAGAAGUAGAAGACAUGGCCAGUGGACCACUAAAUGCAGGGGAGGCUCUGCCUCAGACAAGCCAUAAGAUCCCCUUGCUAGCUGCACAGCAAAGCUGAAAAAAAAACUCCCAAGCAACCAUGGUUGAGGAUUCCGGGCGCCGGGCCAAGUCAUACGAAGAAUCGAGGAUAUUUCUUCACUUAUUGGGGGUUUUGGGUAUAUGCUUGAUAUCGUCUUCGGAAAGUUAUAACAGAAUACAUGUAAUACGCAUUUGAUGAUUCGCGAUUUGUAGCCAACGGGUGAGGACAUAUUGUUCCCAUUAGUUCACUCCACUAAACGAUUCACAUGACCAAGGGAUUGU